rnacentral:misc_RNA from 1 species
AUGGAUUCAAUUAUCAGCACCCAACGAGAUUGGACAAUAGAGAUUCAAGCUUGAUUCUGAGACCAACAGAAGCUAUUGGUUCCAUCCAGAAGAUGACAAAUCAUCAAGAACGUCUAUCCAAUAUAAGGUAAUCAAGUUCUCAUUCAUUAGUAGAAGAAUUUGUUAGGGUCAUGAACCAUAACAGAUCAGUUUAGACGAAAUAGAGAGAAACAGAAGAUGGAGAGAAACAAAAGAAAGACGAGAGAGAAUAGAGAGAAUUAGAGAUGGAAAAUUAUUAGAAUCUUGAUAUUUCUAGAUCAAUCCUUUCCAAAUGCACUGUUUACUUUGACAGGAAUAACUGUUCCUGCCACUUUACCUGCUUUUUGACUUCUCUAACUAAAUCUCAGCUACAAUACUCAGUUAUUCUAUCAACUAUUACUCAAUUAUUUCUGCAUUUCUUCACUUCUAGCCUUCUUCUUAAACCUAGUUCUCCUAUAUGUGACAGAAUCAUAUAUGGAUGUAUUUGUGCAUUUCAGUGAGUGUGCAUGUGUAUGCAUAU